UCGCUGAUCGGCUGGUUCUGGUUCAGCGGCGCGACCUGGGGCGCCGCGUGGAAUCCGCACGACAUGCCGUUCGGGGCGGCCGUCGGCAGC
rnacentral:tRNA from 1 species